rnacentral:rRNA from 1 species
UUCGCCUGUUUUAUCAAAAACAUCGCCUCUUGUUUAAAUAUAAGAGGUCCAGCCUGCCCAGUGAUAAUUUAUUCAACGGCCGCGUAAUUUAAAGCGCGCGAAGGUAGCGUAAUCACUUGUUCUUUAAAUGAGGACUUGAAUCAACGGCACCACGAGGGCUGUACUGUCUCCUUCUCCCAAUCAGUGAAACUAAUCUCCCUGUGAAAAAGCAGGAAUACUACUAUAAGACGAGAAGACCCCAUGGAGCUUUAAACAUAACAACAUCUUUAAAUCUUAAUUAUAUCUUCUUAACCUGAAAGCAUUGUGUGUUAGUUUUAGGUUGGGGCGACCGCGGAGUAUAACAUAACCUCCAUAACGAAAGGGAAUGCACCCUUAUCUAAGAAAAACACUUCUACAAAUUAUUAAUAUAACGUUUAAUGACCCGAUCAUCGAUUAACGAACCAAGUUACCCUGGGGAUAACAGCGCAAUCCAUUUUGAGAGCUCAUAUUGACAAAUGGGUUUACGACCUCGAUGUUGGAUNCAGGGUAUCCCCAGUGGUGCAGCCGCUACUAAAGGUUGUUUUCAACAAAAUUCUUA